rnacentral:misc_RNA from 1 species
AACGCACAUUGCGCCUUCUGGUAUUCCGGUAGGCAUGUCUGUUUGAGCGUCAGCAAACCCCCUCAGCUGAGUGUCUUUGUGCACUCACGCUGGUCUUGGGCUCUGGAUGCUGGGUUAACCCCCCGCGCCUGCCCUAAACUUGCUGCACGACCGCUGGCUUCGGCUGGGUCAAUGGAGUGGUGUCACAAUCUUCCAGAAGGCCUUCAACUGUAGCGCGGUGGCGUUAAACUUGCUGUCCGAAAGGACCGAAAUUUUGACCUCAGAUCAGAUAAGGAUACCCGCUGAACUUAA